GUCAACUGAAAAACGUCAAUUGGACGGACGAGUGAAUUUUGCAUAACAGACAAAAACAAUAGUUUUUCUGAUAUCCGUAAUUAUAAUUUAGUGCUUAGCAGUAAUUUAAACACCUAUCGUGAAAUAGUAAUCAGUUACUAUAUUAGUGCGCAUAAAUCCUAUUUAUAACUAAGUGACAUCGCUAGAUUAGUCGCGUAAAGUAUUUAAGUUUCCAUCGAUUUCUGUAAUGUGAUAUUUUUAUAAUAGUGCGUACUAUCGCAAUAUGAAUCUACUCGGUUAUUUGAGUUUCUUAUGUUACCUGGUGGUAAUAUGCCGCGCUUCAGGCACCGAUAUCGCCUUGGAUGCGAAGGCUACUCUGCUUCACCGUAUAGACAGCUUGAACUUGCUGAUUUAUACCUGUCUUUUGACUCUGACGGUGCUCACUAUAUGGGUGUUCAAGCAUCGCCGAGUAAGCUGGCUGCACGAGACGGGGCUGGCCGUAAUAUACGGUCUAAUUGUAGGCGCUAUAAUACGCUAUGCGGGCAGUACCAAUGCCGUUACAUACCUUGAUGCCCACCCCGAGCCUGAUGCCAAGUACAAUCUGUCUGUGCCACCAGACAUGAUACGAUUUCACUUUCCAGACACUAUUCAUAUACCAUCUGGAGAUGUUCCAAUACUAAAUAAGACUUAUGCAUAUAGCUUUAGAGGUGAAAUCGUAAAUGUUGAACAAAAUGAAAUAGACUUGAAGGCAACAUUUGACCCAGAAAUCUUUUUCAACAUUAUUUUGCCACCAAUAAUAUUCCAUGCAGGAUAUUGCUUAAAAAGGAAAUAUUUCUUCAGAAACUUGGGAGCUAUACUGACAUUUGCUAUGGUGGGCACAGCCCUGUCAGCGCUAGUCAUUGGUGCGCUUAUGUACGGCUGUGUUCAGCUGAUGCCAGCGUCCCUAGCUUCUAGCUUUACUUUUCUUGACACUCUAUACUUUGGCGCAUUGAUCUCUCCUACGGACCCACUUACGGUGCUAGCUAUAUUUUCACAAUUGAAGGUGGAUGUGAACCUUUAUGCUAUGAUAUUCGGUGAGAGUGUUCUCAAUGAUGCAGUGGCUUUAGUACUUAGCGGAGCCAUUCAAAAUUACGAGAAGAGGUACUCAAACGAUGGUGGGUUUGAAAUCACAGCGUUUUUGGGUGCGAUCGGCGACUUCAUUGGGAUCUUCAGCUUGUCUCUACUUGUCGGUGCUUUCAUUGGAUGCUUGACAGCAUUGAUAUCUAAGUUCACCCACGUGCGAGAGUGGCCACUACUGGAGUCUGCGCUUUUUGUUCUCAUGUCCUACGCCGCCUUCCUCAUCGCAGAAGUAUGCGAACUCACAGGUGUGGUGGCGGUAUUAUUCUGCGGCAUCUGCCAAGCUCACUACACAUACAACAACCUGUCGUCGGACUCGCGCAACCGCACCAAGCAGCUGUUCGAACUGCUCAACUUCCUGGCGGAGAACUUCAUCUUCACCUACAUCGGCGUCUCCAUGUUCACCUUCCCGAAGCACCACUUCGACCCGUGGUUCAUUAUCGCGGGAUUUAUAACAUCGACUCUGGGCCGCGCCGUGAACAUUUACCCUUUGUCCUUCUUGCUGAAUCUGGGCAGAAAGCCGCCCAUACCCAUGAACUUUCAACACAUGCUGUUCUUCUCAGGUCUCCGCGGCGCGAUGUCAUUCGCCCUCGCGAUCCGCAACACGGUGUCGGAGGCUCGACAAGCCAUGCUGACGACUACGUCUCUCAUCGUCAUCGCUACCGUAGUACUGCAGGGCGGCGCCGCCACGCACGCGCUCGCCUACCUCAGGAUACCUACUGGAGAAGGCCAGAAUGACGAAAACGAAGCGCUGCCGUACCGCGACGUUAGAACUCUGUACCAGGCCACGGAAACCGGAGGCUCGAGAGGCCGCAUGGUAGUUAAGUGGGGCAAUGGAGACAAAGGAGUGGUUAUGCCUUGGCAACUUAACUAUUACGAAGAGACGUCUCGCGCCGACGGUGGCAGCGAAAAGGCGCGUCUAGCGAAGCUGUGGGGCGCGGUGGACUCACGACUGCUCAAACCGCUCCUGACCCACGCUCGCCCGCCGCUGACUGAGACAUUACCGACGUUCAUGAGCCCUGUGGCGCGUUGGCUCACCACCACACACCAGUACACGCAGGGGGUAAGUAUUAUACAUAUCUGUCGAUUAGUGGGACGCGGCGGACCAAUGGCUACUCAAACCGCUCCUGACCCAGGCUCGCCCGCCGCUGACUGAGACAUUACCGACGUUCAUGAGCCCUGUGGCGCGUUGGCUCACCACCACACACCAGUACACGCAGGGGUGUCUGUACAAUUACAAAUUUAUUGUACCCGAAGAGGAUUCUGGUUUGGCUCGAAACCAGGACAGUUCCUUGCGUCGGGCUGACUCCGACUCCGACCUGUGUAUUGAUGAACCGCAACCUGUACCCACCAGUAUUGAUCCCCAGCUAUCAAUUAAUGUUCGGAUCGGAUUUGGGCAUGUCUAAGCUUUGUUGCGUUCGUUAGUGACCUUCGGCUGUGAUAUAAAAUGGUCUAGAUUAAAUAGAAUUUAAGUUAAUAGGAAAAAAAUGUUUAAUUAUUGCACGCAGCAAAUGUGGCCCGGACUCGUCGACACUCGGAUCUCGGUAGAAGGUAUCACUGGGAGCAACAUCUGAGCAGGUUGAUUAUGUACAAGAAUGUAAAUGAGUGCCACAAGUGUAAUUAAUGUGAUAUCACUUUCAAGUUAAGAUAAAUUUUACUAUUCGAAAAAUUUUGCAUGUAUAAACCAAAAUAUGUAUCAAACUGCUUAAGUUUGCUAAGUGUAAAUUGUAGUUUUCUAUUCUAAAUUUAUACAAUUUCGAUAAGCAUAACAGAACUGAAGCCAUGUAUUGAAAAAUGAGUAUCAAACGAUUGCUAGAAAUCAAUGCAAAAAUGAACCUCUCUGCUAUGUUUGAUUAUCGACCUUGCUUUCGCUAGCCACCUGCUGUGCCGUUUCCGUUAGAUACGUAGAAUUUUCUUGCAGGGUGCAAUUUUAUAGUUAGUUAAAAUUUUAAUUACCUAUAUAUCGCCAGUAUCUCGUAAUGUUAGUCGUUCCUUCUGGCACUAUUUCCUAGUUUAUUAGCAUGUAUUUAUUGUCCAGUGACUGAUGUGAUUCUUUGGUCCAUAAAACUGGGCGUUAUGGAAUAAACCAUACAAUAAUUUGUCCGGAUCACACAAGCUAUCAGAGGUCCCAGGUAAUACCAGGAGUUGGGUGUUCUUACUUCAUGUAGUUACACGGGCAGAUCAGCUGUAAGCCCUUCACGAGUAUUGUACACAAAAGAGUAGUGACCGUGCUAUAGAAGAAUAGAUUUAUCAACUCAUGUAUGACUAAUAUUUUAAAUUUACUGCAAAGUUUUUUUUUUUGUACACCUCUAUAUAACGAUAAAAUCUUGUCUGAUCCGGAUAUUUGGUUUGAGUGACUUGUUUCCUUGACCUUAAGACAAAACAGAUCUAAUGAAUACAGGUUUAUUUUUAGACUAAGAUGUGUGUAGGUACUACGUAUUUAUGAUCCUUAAAAUAAAUACUUUAUUUUUGUUAUUGGUUUAAGGACAUAGUUUUUGACCAUUAAUGUAACUAUUUCCUGUAUUUUUCGAUUCUCCUAGCGAUUCACGUAACUAUGAUGUAAAUAAUUUAUACUUUAUAAACUUCUCGUUAAGGUUUGAAAAACCAUUUUUAAAUAUAUAAUUUAUUCUUUAUAUACACUUUAAAUACUUAUUGUGUUUUGCUUCCCAAUGGUUGCUUGCUAGUGUGCAUUUCGGUUAUUAGGUAUUAAAAAAUACUUUCUCGUAAUUAAGGCAUUUAAAGCUGUCUGUAAAUUAUGAAUGUCAUAUUAUUAUGCAAAUGCUACUUUACCCAGUUGCACAAACAAUCGUAUAAACCAGGGGUUUCCAAACUUUUAUACCUGAGGGCCAUAUUGCGCCUCGGAAUAUUCGCGCAGGCCAGUCGGCGCGAAGCGAGGGGGGAGAUUGUAUCUGGUUGCUGCUGUUAGGGCUGAACACCUGGAGCCUAGCUCCCGCGGGCCACAUUGGACCGCUGUCGGCGGGCCGGAUUGGAACGCUUCGCGGUCCGGGGUUUGGAGAGCCCUGGUAUAAUCAACUCUCUUCAUUUUGUGUCACAUAUUGACAGCAAGUGCAGUUUUUGCAACUUGGUAAAUUGGCAAAUUAUUAUUAUUUAUUAUGUUCCCCGGUGCCGGUUAUCCAGUGUUACACCCACCAAAUGAGGUCGAACAUGCAAAGCUCAACACGAAUUGUGCUGUUAUUGAAUAGGACCUAUCUAACAGCUUCCUUGGGUUCAAAUGUAAGGAUACAAAUUUAAAAACAAAUUUCUUGUGUAUGGAUUUAAGAAGGUAGUAUAUGCACAUACCACGCGCUCUUUGUAAUGAGCUAUUGUCAGUUUUUGACCCCAUUGUUUCUUUGUCAUAUUAAGUUAUGUGAAAUUAACCCUAUCACUGUCACAUAUUUGUGACAGUAUAAAAUGAACCUUAAUGCAUUAUAUGUCAGCUAAAGGGUAUAAAGGUAUUUCACUCCUUUAACAUAUUUAUAGGUGUAAUAAAAUGUGACUUGA